rnacentral:rRNA from 1 species
CACCAGCGCCACGAGUGGUGAUCAUGUUUAUUGGGCCUAAAGCGUUCGUAGCCGGUUUGAUAAAUCUCUUGUGAAAUUGUUAACGUCAACUUAACAGAGUGCAAGAGAGACUGUUAAACUUGAGACCGGGAGGAGAUAGAAGUACUUUGGGGGGAGUGGUAAAAUGCAGUAAUCCUCAAGGGACUGCCUGUGGCGAAGGCGUCUAUCUAGAACGGCUCUGACGGUGAGGAACGAAGGCUAGGGGCGCGAAUCGGAUUAGAUACCCCCGUA